GUGAGCGUAGCUCAGUUGGUAGAGCCCGGGUUGUGAUCCCGGUUGUCGUGGGUUCGAGUCCCAUCGUUCACCCCA
rnacentral:tRNA from 2 species